rnacentral:rRNA from 1 species
UGCCUGGCGGCACUAGCGCGGUGGUCCCACCUGACCCCAUGCCGAACUCAGAAGUGAAACGCCGUAGCGCCGAUCGUAGUGUGGGGUCUCCCCAUGUGAGAGUAGGGAACUGCCAGGCAU